AUACCCGCUGAACUUAAGCAUAUCAAUAAGCCGGAGGAAAA
rnacentral:rRNA from 1 species